rnacentral:rRNA from 1 species
ACGAAGGGGACUAGCGUUGUUCGGAUUUACUGGGCGUAAAGCGCGCGUAGGCGGAUAUUUAAGUCAGGGGUGAAAUCCCAGGGCUCAACCCUGGAACUGCCUUUGAUACUGGAUGUCUGGAGAUCGGGAGAGGUUGGUGGAAUUCCGGGUGUAGAGGUGAAAUUCGUAGAUAUUCGGAGGAACACCAGAAGCGAAGGCGGCCAACUGGCCCGAUACUGACGCUGAGGCGCGAAAGCGUGGGGAGCAAACAGGA